GAUGAACGCUGGCGGCGUGCCUAAUACAUGCAAGUCGAGCGAACAGACCAGGAGCUUUCUCCUCUGACUUUAUCGGCGGACGGGUGAUUAACAUGUGGUUAACCUACCUAUAAGACUGGGAUAACUUCGGGAAACCGGAGCUAAUACCGGAUAAUAUAUUGAACCGCAUUGUUCAAUAGUUAAAGACGGUUUUUCUUUCACUUAUAGAUUGAUCCGCGCCGCAUUAGCUAGUUGUUUAGGUAACGGCUUACCAAGGCGACGAUGCGUAGCCGACCUGAGAGGGUGAACGGACACACUGGAACUGAGAAACGGUACAGACUCCGAGGGGAGGAAGCAGUAGGGAAUCUUCCGCAAUGGGCGAAAGCCUGACGGAGCAAAGCCGCGUGAGGGAUGAAGGUCUACGGAUCGGAAAACGCUGUUAGUAGGGAAGAACAAAUGUGUAAGUAACUAUGAACGUAUUGACGGUACCGAAUCAGAAAGCCACGGCUAACUACGUG
rnacentral:rRNA from 1 species